AGGAAAUACAAUGACACGAGUUCCUCCUACUGUUUCUACAAGGAAGAGGAAGGCUGAGCAAACUUUAACUUUGGAAAGUAAACGAGGCAAAACACGAGGACGAGGCCAGAGGUAAGAGGUUGGGGGUGAGGAGGAUGUGGUGGUUGAGCAACAUCGUGAGCAAAUGAAACGAGUUCCUCCUACCGUUUCUGCAAGGAAGAGGAAUGCUGACCAAACUUUAACUUUGGAAAGGAAACGAGGAAAAA